GACGAACGCUGGCGGCGUGCCUAAUACAUGCAAGUUGAGCGCUGAAGGUUGGUACUUGUCCCGACUGGAUGAGCAGCGAACGGGUGAGUAACGCGUGGGGAAUCUGCCUUUGAGCGGGGGACAACAUUUGGAAACGAAUGCUAAUACCGCAUAAAAACUUUAAACACAAGUUUUAAGUUUGAAAGAUGCAAUUGCAUCACUCAAAGAUGAUCCCGCGUUGUAUUAGCUAGUUGGUGAGGUAAAGGCUCACCAAGGCGAUGAUACAUAGCCGACCUGAGAGGGUGAUCGGCCACAUUGGGACUGAGACACGGCCCAAACGCCUACGGGAGGCAGCAGUAGGGAAUCUUCGGCAAUGGACGAAAGUCUGACCGAGCAACGCCGCGUGAGUGAAGAAGGUUGUCGGAUCGUAAAACUCUGUUGGUAGAGAAGAACGUUGGUGAGAGUGGAAAGCUCAUCAAGUGACGGUAACUACCCAGAAAGGGACGGCUAACUACGUG
rnacentral:rRNA from 1 species